GGGACAGCGGCAAAACGGAUAAUGCGCCUGACUACGGAUUAGGAGAUUCCCGGUUCGAAUCCAGGCUGGCUCG